rnacentral:rRNA from 1 species
UACGUAGGGGGCAAGCGUUGUCCGGAUUUAUUGGGCGUAAAGAGCGUGUAGGCGGCUAUACAGGUCCGCUGUGAAAACUCGAGGCUCAACCUCGAGACGUCGGCGGAAACCAUCUGGCUAGAGUCCGGAAGAGGAGAGUGGAAUUCCUGGUGUAGCGGUGAAAUGCGCAGAUAUCAGGAGGAACACCGGUGGCGAAGGCGGUUCUCUGGGCAUUACCUGACGCUGAGGAGCGAAAGUGUGGGGAGCGAACAGG